CAUCAACGUUCCAGCCGAUUAUAUGAACGAUUCCCGACGACGGCGCGCCAACCAUAACGAACGUUCGGCAGACAAAGACGUAAAGUCAGCAAAAAAAAAAAAAACAAAUUAAUCCGCUUGUUUAUUUUGUCGCGUCGUUCGACACCCGUUGUACAAGCAUAUUUAACGUUUUUGUCGAUUCGGUUGUUUUAUCCGAAUGGCCGUUCGCGCAAUAACAUUAUUAUACCGAU